rnacentral:rRNA from 1 species
UACGUAGGGGCAAGCGUUGUCCGGAAUUAUUGGGCGUAAAGAGCGUGUAGGCGGUCCGGUAAGUCAGCUGUGAAAGUCGGGGGCUCAACCCUCGGAUGCCGAUCGAUACUGUCGGGCUAGAGUCCGGAAGAGGCGAGUGGAAUUCCUGGUGGUAGCGGUGAAAUGCGCAGAUAUCAGGAGGAACACCGGUGGCGAAGGCGGGUCUCUGGGCAGUAACUGACGCUGAGGAGCGAAAGCGUGGGGAGCGAACAGG